CUUGCGCCAUAUUAGUUAGUUGGUAGGGUAAUGGCCUACCAAGACGAUGAUGUGUAGCUGGACUGAGAGGUUGAACAGCCACAUUGGGACUGAGACACGGCCCAAACUCCUACGGGAGGCAGCAGUAGGGAAUUUUCGGCAAUGGAGGAAACUCUGACCGAGCAACGCCGCGUGAACGACGAAGUACUUUGGUAUGUAAAGUUCUUUUAUCAAGGAAGAAAAGCAAGUGGUGAACCAUUUGUUUGCCGGUACUUGAUGAAUAAGCCCCGGCUAAUUAUGUGCCAGCAGCCGCGGUAAGACAUAAGGGGCAAGUGUUAUCCGGAAUUAUUGGGCGUAAAGGGUGCGUAGGCGGUCUAGUAAGUCAGUGGUGUAAUGGCAACGCUCAACGUUGUCCGGCUAUUGAAACUGCUAAACUUGAGUUAGAUAGAGGCGAGUGGAAUUCCAUGUGUAGCGGUAAAAUGCGUAAAUAUAUGGAGGAACACCAGAGGCGUAGGCGGCUCGCUGGGUCUUAACUGACGCUGAGGCACGAAAGCGUGGGGAGCAAACAGGAUUAGAUACCCUGGUAGUCCACGCCGUAAACGAUGAGUACUAAGUGUCGGGUUAAACCGGUACUGAAGUUAACACAUUAAGUACUCCGCCUGAGUAGUACGUACGCAAGUAUGAAACUUAAAGGAAUUGACGGGACUCCGCACAAGCGGUGGAUCAUGUUGUUUAAUUCGAAGAUACCCGAAAAACCUUACCAGGUCUUGACAUGUUUUUGCGAAACGGUAGUAAUAUCGUGGAGGUUAUCAGAAACACAGGUGGUGCAUGGUUGUCGUCAGCUCGUGUCGUGAGAUGUUAGGUUAAGUCCUAAAACGAGCGAAACCCUUAUCGUUAGUUGCCAGCACGUUAUGGUGGGGACUUUAACGAGACUGCCAGUGAUAAAUUGGAGGAAGGUGAGGAUCACGUCAAAUCAGCAUGCCCCUUAUGACCUGGGCUACAAACGUGAUACAAUGGCUGUUACAAAGGGUAGCUGAAACGCAAGUUCUUGGCCAAUCCCCAAAAACAGUCUCAGUCCGGAUUGAAGUCUGCAACUCGACUUC
rnacentral:rRNA from 1 species